rnacentral:rRNA from 1 species
UGGGGAAUAUUGCACAAUGGGCGCAAGCCUGAUGCAGCCAUGCCGCGUGUGUGAAGAAGGCCUUCGGGUUGUAAAGCACUUUCAGCGAGGAGGAAGGUGGUGAACUUAAUACGUUCAUCAAUUGACGUUACUCGCAGAAGAAGCACCGGCUAACUCCGUGCCAGCAGCCGCGGUAAUACGGAGGGUGCAAGCGUUAAUCGGAAUUACUGGGCGUAAAGCGCACGCAGGCGGUUUGUUAAGUCAGAUGUGAAAUCCCCGGGCUCAACCUGGGAACUGCAUUUGAAACUGGCAAGCUAGAGUCUCGUAGAGGGGGGUAGAAUUCCAGGUGUAGCGGUGAAAUGCGUAGAGAUCUGGAGGAAUACCGGUGGCGAAGGCGGCCCCCUGGANGAAGACUGACGCUCAGGUGCGAAAAGGCGUGGGGGAGCAAAACAGGAUUAGAUACCCUGGUAGUCACGCUGUAAACGAUGUCGAUUUUGGAGGGUUGUGCCCCUUGAGGCGNGGNUUCCGGAGCUAACGCGUUAAAUCGACCGCCUGGGGAGUACGGCCCAAGGUUAAAACUUAAAUGAAUUGCGGGGUCU